UGGGCUGGAGGCAUGUCUAUGGGGCUUUCAGAGGACAUGGCCUCCUCAGUGACUUAUGCCAGAUCAGUAAGGACUGAAGAGCUUCUUGUCUUCAUGGUGAACUGUGGAUGGAAUCCAGGAAGGAGAAAGUGGUGGGAACACUUGAGAAAAACCACCUGCAGGCUUGCGGCUCCAUUGAACAGGAAUACCUGGGGGUGAACAGCAAGUAGGAGGUUUUGUGUUCUGUUUUUAUUUUGUUAUGACAUCCAUUUGACACAUAGAAAACCUACUUAAGGC
rnacentral:lncRNA from 1 species